AUGAUAAUGGUUAUGGUAUCUUGCGACUUGUGUGUUGUACAUAGCAGAGUUCUUCGAUCUGAGGCAGUAAAUGCAGAAAAAUUUGAUGGUUGUGAAGGAAAAUCUGAAGAAUAUGUUGGAAUGACAACGUUUUCUGUUUCUUCAAACAACUCAAGCAUUCGUAGUUCAGCAAGAAGCUUAGCAUUUAGAUUAGCUUCUGGACCAAGCAAAAAAGGCAAAGGACAUUAA